rnacentral:miRNA from 10 species
GUGAGGCGGAGGCCAGGGCACGGCAGGGGGAGCUGCCCAGCGGGUGAAGGGAACCCAGUGUCUGAGCUCUGUCCUCUCGCAGG